rnacentral:rRNA from 1 species
UACAGAGGGGGCAAGCGUUGUUCGGAAUUACUGGGCGUAAAGGGCGCGUAGGCGGCCUUCUAAGUCGAACGUGAAAUCCCGAGGACCUCAACCUCGGGUCUGCAGUCGAUACGGGGCGGACUGGGAGUUCGGCAGGGGAGACUGGGAAUUCCUGGUGUAGCGGUGGAAAUGCGCAGAUAUCAGGAGGAACACCGGUGGCGAAAGGCGGGUCUCUGGGGCCGAUACUGACGCUGGAGGAGCGAAAGCGGUGGGGAGCGAACAGGG